UUGCUGUUAUUCUGUGCGCCCACACCAGUUUCCGUGGACACCAGGAUCAAUGAGACACAUUCCUGCAUCUAAGUACCCCACUGAGGAGGGUGGUAGAGGAGACAGACAUAUAACCCACUUACCAGGAUUCAGGAGGCGAACACCCAAGUAAACAACCUUCUCCACUGGUUCAUCAGUAGUUCACAUCUGCUCCCCCUCCCCCUGGCUCCAUCCUGACUCAUCCCGGCCACCUGAUCACCCCUGGACACCUGCUCUGACACGCCCAUAAUCGUCCUUCCCACCAAAACACCCACCCUGCCACUCCGGCUCAGACCCCUGCUCUUUUUAAAAUAGCCAAUCGGAAUUAGUCUAGCUUGUGCGGUCUAACCCUAGCCAACAGGGGAUGACACAGCAGUAGGGAUGACCCCCGUCUGGCAUAAGAACCUCUUCCCCACUUGUCCAAGCAUGGGCCGCCAUUGUUUGAUCCUUGCUGCUGCAUCCUUCUGUAGCAGUCAACUGCCCUGCUGAGAGGACUUAUUUUCGAGUGCUAUUUCUUUUGUGGCAUCAAAAUUGUACUUAUAACAACAGGAUGGCCUUUCAGGUU